rnacentral:rRNA from 1 species
CCUACGGGAGGCAGCAGUGAGGAAUAUUGGUCAAUGGGCGCUAGCCUGAACCAGCCAAGUAGCGUGAAGGAUGACUGCCCUAUGGGUUGUAAACUUCUUUUAUAUGGGAAUAAAGUGCAGUAUGUAUACUGCUUUGCGUGUACUUUAUGAAUAAGGAUCGGCUAACUCCGUGCCAGCAGCCGCGGUAAUACGGAGGAUCCGAGCGUUAUCCGGAUUUAUUGGGGUUAAAGGGUGCGUAGGCGGGUUGUUAAGUCAGGUGUUAAAGUUUGCGGCUCAACCGUAAGAUUGCAGUUGAUACUGGCAGCCUUGAGUAGAGUAGAGGUAGGCGGAAUUCGUGGUGUAGCGGUGAAAUGCUUAGAUAUCACGAAGAACUCCGAUUGCGAAGGCAGCCUGCUGGACUGGAACUGACGCUGAUGCACGAAAGUGUGGGUAUCAAACAGGAUUAGAUACCCCUGUAGUC